rnacentral:rRNA from 1 species
UACGUAGGGCGCAAGCGUUGUCCGGAAUUAUUGGGCGUAAAGAGCUCGUAGGCGGUCUGUUACGUCCGCUGUGAAAACCCAGGGCUUAACCCUGGGCUUGCAGUGGAUACGGGUAGACUAGAGGCAGGUAGGGGAGAAUGGAAUUCCCGGUGUAGCGGUGAAAUGCGCAGAUAUCGGGAGGAGCACCGGUGGCGAAGGCGGGUCUCUGGGCAAUAACUGACGCUGAGGAGCGAAAGCGUGGGGAGCGAACAGG